CAAACUCAUGAGUCGAGAUGCUAAUGAGAGUUGCGAAAGACCUUCUUUACAUCCAUUAUAUAUGAGAUGUUUUGCAGCAUCUAAUAUAUCAUAAAACUUUUUUGCCUCAACAUUCGGUUCUUCUUCCAUAUGAGGAAAAGCAUUAGAAGCCAUAGCCACAUAAGGAUUUACCGGCUCUGUAGCAGUUUCAGUUUGCAAGGGAUCUUCACCACCAUCUAUAAAAUAAUCUAAAACCUCAGAAUGAUUAUUUAGAAUAUCAUAAUCUUCUCCAUGGGAAAUCCAAACCCAAUAAUUAGACAUAAAUCCUCUAUUAUAUAAGUGUUUUGAAACGACUUCCUCUUGUAAUAGUUUUCCAUUCUCACACU
rnacentral:lncRNA from 1 species